rnacentral:rRNA from 1 species
GACGAACGCUGGCGGCGGGCUUAACACAUGCAAGUCGAACGGACAGGUCCUGCUUUUGUGGGGUGCUCGAGUGGCGAACGGGUGAGUAACACGUGAGUAACCUGCCAUUGACUUUGGGAUAACUUCAUGACACUGGGGCUAAUACCGGAUAGGAGCUCCCGCUUCUUGGGGGGGGUUGGAAAGUUUCGACGGUUGGUGAUGGACUCGCGGCUUAUCAGCUUGUUGGUGGGGUUGUGGAUUAGCAAGGCCUGGACGGGUGGCCGGCCUGAGAGGGUGAGCGGCCCCACUAGGACUGAGAUGCGACACAGACUACUCCCCGAGGCAGCAGUGCGGUGGAUAGCCUAGUGGACUGGAGCCUGGCCCAACGCAGCCGCGUCCGGUAUGUCAGCCUUCGGGUUGGAUUCCGCUUUCGUCUGUGCCGAAGCGUGAAUGACGGUAAUGGGUAAAGAAGCCCCGGCUAACUUCGUG